UAUUGGUCAAUGGCCUAACGGCUGAACCAGCAAUUUGGGGGAAUGUAGGUAUAUAUCUUAUGAUGCAUAUAUACAAAUCGACUACGUCGUAUAAAGUUCUAAAUAGAUAAUUGAUUGUGACAGAUUUCUAUUUAUGUGGCUCGACCAAUUCUUGUGCCAGCAGUCGCGGCAACACAAGUGAGACUAGUGUUAUUCAUCUUUAUUAGGUUUAAAGGGUACCUAGACGGUUUUUUUAACCUGAAAAAUGUACAAAAAAACUAGAGUUUUAUAUGAGAGGUAAAUAUUAGGACUAUUGGUGUAGAGAUGAAAUUUUUUGAUACUAAUUGGACGUAUAAUGGCGAAGGCGAUCCUCUAUUUAUAAACUGACGUUAAGGGACGAAGGCUUGGGGAGCGAAUAGGAUUAGAUACCCUAGUAGUCCAGGCAGAAAAUUAUGAAUGUUAUAGAUUAAGUAUAUAAUUAGUGUAUAAAUGAAAGUGUAAGCAUUCCACCUCAAGAGUAAUGUGGCAACGCAGGAACUGAAAUCAUUAGACCGUUUGUGAAACCAGUAGUGAAGUAUGUUAUUUAA
rnacentral:rRNA from 1 species